GUGUCAGCAGCCGCGGUAAUACAGAGGGUGCGAGCGUUGUCCGGAAUCACUGGGCGUAAAGGGCGCGUAGGUGGCGCGACAAGUCAGUGGUGAAAGCUCGAUGCUUAACAUCGAGUCGGCCACUGAUACUGUUGGGCUUGAGCACUGUAGAGGCUAAUGGAAUUCCGGGUGUAGCGGUGGAAUGCGUAGAGAUCCGGAAGAACACCGGUGGCGAAGGCGGUUAGCUGGGCAGUUGCUGACACUGAGGCGCGACAGCGUGGGGAGCAAACAGGAUUAGAUACCCUGGUAGUCC
rnacentral:rRNA from 1 species